AGAUUGAACGCUGGCGGCAUGCCUUACACAUGCAAGUCGAACGGUAGAGUAGCAAUACUUGAGAGUGGCGAACGGGUGAGUAAGUAUAUCGGAACGUGCCCAGUCGUGGGGGAUAACGUAGAGAAAUUUACGCUAAUACCGCAUACGAUCUAAGGAUGAAAGCGGGGGACCGUAAGGCCGUCGCGCGAUUGGAGCGGCUGAUAUCAGUAGUUAGGUUGUUGGUGAGGUAAAAGCUCACCAAGCCGACGAUCUGUAGCGUGGUUUGAGAGAACGACCAGCCACACUGGGACUGAGACACGGCCCAGGACCUCCGUACGGGAGGCAGCAGGUGGGGUAAUUUGGACAAGUGGGACGAAAGCCUGAAUCCAGACAA
rnacentral:rRNA from 1 species